UACAGAGGGUGCAAGCGUUAUUCGGAAUUAUUGGGCGUAAAGCGCUUGUAGGCGGCCUGUCAAGUCUCGUGUGAAAUCCCCUGGCUUAACCAGGGAAGUGCGCGCGAAACUGGCGGGCUUGAGUGCCGGAGAGGGUCGCGGAAUUCCCGGUGUAGAGGUGAAAUGCGCAGAUAUCAGGAGGAACACCCGUGGCGAAAGCGGCUCUCUGGGACGGUACUGACGCUGAGACGCGAAAGCGUGGGGAGCGAACAGG
rnacentral:rRNA from 1 species